CCUCCAAUCAGAGACGCGGCCGGAAGUUUAACUAGACAGCGGUUGUUUUUAAUUUUUGUAACAGUAUUCAACGUUAAGUUUUUGGAUAAAAGUGAAGCUGAAAGCGGUUGACAGGCGGCGGUAGUAACGUUCUCUGACAGCUUCGCCGAACUCCGUUCACAUUUUACAGCAUUUAACGGGCAGUCAUGGCUGAGGGUCCGUCUGUCCUCACACAGUCGGCCAAUCAGAGCGAGUCAUCAGCCGACAUGACUGGGGGGGCGGGGCUUCAGGAGGAAAGCUGGGCCAAGCAGGUGAGUGCACACUGCAAAGAUCAGCUGAUCAGAGGAGGGGACGAGUUCAGCUUCGAAGAGCUGAGAGCCGAGAGAUACAGGCAACUGGAUGGUGAGUUCACUGACCGCAGGACGCUCGGGAC